GAUGCCGUUUGCAUCCAUGGUUUCUCCCUCCAGCUUCCUCUCCAUCUUCAGUCCAGAGCUGCCAUUGCUGCCUAGUUCAUGAUCCUAAAAGGCAGCUUUAUAAGUUUUAAACUUGUUGAAUGAAUUCAAAGCCUUUCUCAGCCAGGCUUCUGCCCCCCAAACCCACCUUUUUUUUUUUUUUGUACCAAGUGCUUAACCACUGUGCCAUAUCCACAGCCCUUUUUUUCCUUUUUUUUUGGGGGGGGGUUGUCAUGGAUUGAAUUCAGGGGCACUUGACCACCAAGCCUCACCCCCAGCCCUAUUUUGUAUUUUAUUUAGAGACAGGGUCUCACUGAGUUGCUUUGUGCCUCACCUUUGCUGAGGCUGGCUUUGAACUCACGAUCCUCCUGCAUCAGCCUCCUGAGCUGCUGGGAUGACAGGCGUGCACCACCACGCCCGGCAGAUCCUUCCUUUCUUUUCAACCCCUUGCAUGAGUCUUAACUGAGCUACUUGCUGUUAGUUACCCACAGUGCCCCAUGUGCUGUCCAGUGAAGCCUCUGUGCCUAUUUUUUCCCCUUCCAGAAGCACCAGCUUCCCACAGGUCUGUCUCUGCACCCUGGCCUUCCCUUACAGAGGCCUCACCUGGCUCACACCUGAGCAGUCACACUGGAGGAUGCCCAGUUGCCCUCAGCUGGAAGGAGCCUUUCUCUCCUGAGCUCCUCAAGCUCCUCCCUGGUGAGGCCACUUCCUC
rnacentral:lncRNA from 1 species